GACGAAGGGGGCUAGCGUUGUUCGGAAUUACUGGGCGUAAAGCGCGUGUAGGCGGUUGCCAUAGUCAGGUGUGAAAGCCUUGAGCUUAACUCAAGAAAUGCACUUGAUACUGGGCGACUAGAGGACCGGAGAGGAUAGUGGAAUUCCCAGUGUAGUGGUGAAAUACGUAGAGAUUGGGAAGAACACCAGUGGCGAAGGCGGCUAUCUGGACGGUUACUGACGCUAAGGCGCGAAAGCCAGGGGAGCGAACGGG
rnacentral:rRNA from 1 species